UCAGUUACGUCCUUGAUGCCAUUCAAUACAGUCCAUUUUGCACAUCUGAUAGUUUUCAAACACACAUUAAUAAUAAUAAUAUUAUUAAUAUUAUUAAUAUUAUUUCUAGCAUUCUUACCAAUAAUAAUUCAACACAAUACAAGUAAAUGUCGUCCUCAGGAUAAAUAUUCUGCCGCGCAUCAUGCUUGCAGGCUCGUCAAGAUGGCAGCCAUUUGAUGCCGUGCUGAAUCUUCUCUUCCACUGUUAGGUCAUCAAAUGGCUGCCUCUUCAACAGUAUAAGAAUUACGUGAAUCUCAGAGUAGUAUCUUCUUAUCUGUUUGACAUGGCUUCUCUACAUUGUUUGCAAUAACUGCACAGGCGUGGUCCAGGAACAAGUUCCUUGUGAUGGUCCUCACUCAUUUUGCUUACCAGAAUCGUGGUGGAUUUGAUUUCGUCUGAAAGUAGGGGUUACAAAGCAGGAAAAUGGGUUCAGUUUUGGAGAAACUCGUGUGUGCACAUAGUGCUAGUUGUUCACCCUACCGCCCAUGCUCCUCAAUUCAUGAUUUUGAAAUAUGGGUUUUGAAGAACAAGUAGGCGCUAGACAAAAGCAUUAAUUGUCAAAAGAGCUGCUUUCAAGAUUAUCCACAAAGCUGAUUGGAAGGAAAACAUGCUGAACCCAAGAACCUGCUCAAGCUGAGUUGCUCUCGAAAAGUCAAUCAUUAAGGCAAAUAUUUGCACGACAAAAGGAGUGGAAGGACUCAAACCUGGAUUCUAGAUAGUCGGAAGAAAUAGCUAGAGCCAUUCAAGGUUUGAAGAAGGUUGCCUGCUGGUGUGACUCGAAAUCCUAACCUGCGAAAAGAUGAAACAAGAGCAACAGUGGACCAACUCAGACAGUAAAUCUAAUGCAAUGCAGCUGAUAUCAAACCCAGAGAAAGAUUCGCUUACGUGCUUUGACCUGUCUAUCUCCACUUUCUAGAUGAACGAGUGGCUACGGACUGACUAGCUGACAAUAUCUUCCAACAUCAGUAAGGGUCACAUGCUUUUGAAUUCCACAUAAGGGUUUGGAACAUCUAGGAGCACAGUUACCUACAGCCACUAGCUGAGUUCACGAGGUGCUCAAGUACACAAAUUUCUGCAGGGAAUGUGAAUUAAAGGGCAGUCUGGAAAAACCGGUUUCUCCGGAGAGCUACCCUCAGUCUGAGGACUUCAUAUAAAACAUUAAGUAUGCUCACCUACUGAGACGUGAUAUCAAAACAUUGAUGCCUCUUAUCCCA